CUGUACUAUUGCAGCUAACCUCUGCUCGCCCCGCGUACAGCCAUGGCCUCCUGUUUCAGCGCCAGCGUACUAAGCUCUGCUCCCUAGCCAUAGUAGGCUACCCAACUGCAUAUACUAACCACACAUGCCUUACUAGAGCCUGUGUUUCAGGGCGCUGCGACAAUUAGCCACAAGGCGCAUGAAGCCAAUCACUAGCAUGCCCCAAGUUCUACGCUCAAUAGCUUCCUAUAGGGGAAUCUGGGUGUCUUAGACCAUAACCAUAAAACUGAGUAGGUUCAGCUACGUGAUGUCUGUCCAGC